rnacentral:misc_RNA from 1 species
AAGGUUUCGGGUACCCAGUGCCCAAACUUCAACCCUAUGUUUUAACUAUACAUGUUUCUUUGCCGGUUUCGGCCGGCAGAAGUUUUCUCAAACUCCAUAAAUGUGUCUUCUGAAUCAACUAAAUAAAUUA